AGUGAACGCUGGCGGCGUGCCUAAUACAUGCAAGUCGAACGGAGUGGCGCACGGGUGAGUAAAGUAUAGCUAAUCUGCCCUACACUAGAGGACAACAGCUGGAAACGCCUUUUAAUACUCUAUAUUUUAGGCUGAGGCUAUAUUGUAUCAGCUAGUUGGUGAGGUAACGGCUCACCAAGGCGAUGACGGGUAACUGGUGUGAGAUGAUAAUCAGUCAAACUGGAACUGAGGCACGGUUCGGGCUCCUACGGGAGUCAGCAGUAGGGAGUAAUACUCAAUGGGGGAGACCCUGAAGCAGCAUCGCCUCGUAGAGGAUGACACUUAUCGAAGCGUAAACUCCUUAUGAUAGGAAAGCGGUACCUAACGAAUAAGCACCGGCUAACUCCGUGCCAGCAGCCGCGGUAAUAC
rnacentral:rRNA from 1 species